UACGGAGGGUGCAAGCGUUAUCCGGAUUCAUUGGGUUUAAAGGGCGCGUAGGUGGCCUUAUAAGUCAGUGGUGAAAUCUCUGGGCUUAACCCAGAAAUUGCCAUUGAUACUGUAGGGCUUGAGUAUAGUUGCCGUUGGCGGAAUAUGACAUGUAGUGGUGAAAUACAUAGAGAUGUCAUAGAACACCGAUUGCGAAGGCAGCUGACGAAACUAUAACUGACACUGAGGCUCGAAAGUGCGGGGAUCAAACAGG
rnacentral:rRNA from 1 species